rnacentral:rRNA from 1 species
UACGGGGGGGGGGCAAGCGUUUGUUCGGAAUUACUGGGCGUAAAGGGCUCGUAGGCGGCCAACUAAGUCAGACGUGAAAUCCCUCGGCUUAACCGGGGAACUGCAUCUGAUACUGGAUGGCUUGAGUUCGGGAGAGGGAUGCGGAAUUCCAGGUGUAGCGGUGAAAUGCGUAGAUAUCUGGAGGAACACCGGUGGCGAAGGCGGCAUCCUGGACCGACACUGACGCUGAGGAGCGAAAGCCAGGGGAGCAAACGGG